GACGAACGCUGGCGGCGUGCCUAAUACAUGCAAGUCGAGCGAACAGACGAGGAGCUUGCUCCUCUGACGUUAGCGGCGGACGGGUGAGUAACACGUGGAUAACCUACCUAUAAGACUGGGAUAACUUCGGGAAACCGGAGCUAAUACCGGAUAAUAUAUUGAACCGCAUGGUUCAAUAGUGAAAGACGGUUUUGCUGUCACUUAUAGAUGGAUCCGCGCCGCAUUAGCUAGUUGGUAAGGUAACGGCUUACCAAGGCAACGAUGCGUAGCCGACCUGAGAGGGUGAUCGGCCACACUGGAACUGAGACACGGUCCAGACUCCUACGGGAGGCAGCAGUAGGGAAUCUUCCGCAAAGGGCGAAAGCUUGACGGAGCAACGCCGCGUGAGUGAUGAAGGUCUUCGGAUCGUAAAACUCUGUUAUUAGGGAAGAACAAAUGUGUAAGUAACUAUGCACGUCUUGACGGUACCUAAUCAGAAAGCCACGGCUAACUACGUG
rnacentral:rRNA from 1 species